GGCCAGCAUCAGUUUUCCCCGGGGGAUAAAGGCGGCGGGAAUGUGGCAUCUUCGGGUGUGUUAUAGCCUCUGGUUGUAUACAUUGGUUGGGACUGAGGAACUCAGCACGCCGCAAGGCCGGGUUUUUAACCACGUUCGUGCUUAGGAUGCUGGCAUAAUGGCUUUAAUCGA
rnacentral:rRNA from 1 species